UCUCACAAUGGAGGUUGAGCGC
rnacentral:miRNA from 1 species